rnacentral:rRNA from 1 species
CCUACGGGAGGCUGCAGUGAGGAAUAUUGGUCAAUGGGCGGAAGCCUGAACCAGCCAAGUCGCGUGCGGGAUGACGGCCCUACGGGUUGUAAACCUCUUUUACCCGGGAGCAACGAGCGGUACGCGUACCGCCUUGCGAGUACCCGGAGAAAAAGGAUCGGCUAACUCCGUGCCAGCAGCCGCGGUAAUACGGAGGGUGCGGGCGUUAUCCGGAUUUAUUGGGUUUAAAGGGUGCGUCGGCGGGAUGUCAAGUGUGCGGGUAAAUGUGAGGGCUCAACCCGUGCCCUGCAUAGGGAACUGGGGUUCUUGAGUGGGCGGGAAGCACGCGGAAUGCGUGGUGUAGCGGUGAAAUGCAUAGAUAUGACGAAGAACCCCGAUUGCGAAGGCAGCGUGCCGGAGCCCAACUGACGCUCAUGCACGAAAGCGCGGGUAUCGAACAGGAUUAGAUACCCGUGUAGUC